rnacentral:tRNA from 1 species
GCCGAGGUAGCUCAACGGUAGAGCAAACGCUUCGUAAGCGUUAGGUUGUGGGUUCGAAUCCCAUCCUCGGCU